rnacentral:ncRNA from 2 species
UUUGACCACUUGGGGAGCCAUUCGGCUGAGAGUGAACUUUAUGUUCAGACCCGUUGAACCUGUAUAGUUAAAGCUUACGUAGGGAUGUGGCGAUGGAUUCAA